UUUUACUCAAGCCCGGUGGAGACUUCGUGAGACGCCGUCGCUUCACAGCCUUUCAUAUUCACCUCACGGCGUGAGCAGACUGAGCACGCACGGAUCUUUUGUUUUGCAUCAUCAAAAUAUGUGAUUAUCAGCAGUGAGACGGGCUGUUUGACAUCACUCAAGCUUUCUGCUGCUGUAAAUGGGAACACCGGUGUUUUCAGGUCCAAACCCCCCACCUGAGAGCCAAGGGCCCCUGCUGAGCGAAUACGCCACCUGAAUGCAAACUGCUGCCACAUAUGCACAGAGAGCUGCUCCACACUGAAUUCAUUUAAUUCCAUGAAGAUUGAUGGACUGCAUACUCAACUUAAAUUUGAUCUGUGUCCUGAGCUGUUACAGUAUAU